GGUCUGGUGGUGUAGUUGGUUAUCACGUCAGUCUAACACGUCGAGGCAUUCUACGAUGACCUCGUCUGGUUCACUGAAGGUCUCCGGUUCAAGUCCGGGCUAGAUCA
rnacentral:tRNA from 2 species